GAUGAAGAACGUAGUGAAAUGCGAUAAGUAAUGUGAAUUGCAGAAUUCAGUGAAUCAUCGAAUCUUUGAACGCACCUUGCGCUCCUUGGUAUUCCGAGGAGCAUGCCUGUUUGAGUGUCAUUAAAUUCUCAACCUUUCCAGCUUUUGCGAGUUUGGAUUGGCUUGGAUGUGGAGGUUUGCAGGCUUCUCAGAAGUCAGCUCCUCUUAAAUGCAUUAGCGGAACCUUUGUGGACCAGCUUUGGUGUGAUAAUUAUCUAUGCCAUGGUUGUGAAGCAGUUUUUAUAUGGGGUUCAGCUUCUAACAGUCCAUUGACUUGGACAAUUUCUGACAUUUUGACCUCAAAUCAGGUAGGACUACCCGCUGAACUUAAGCAUAUCAAUAACCGGAGGA
rnacentral:misc_RNA from 1 species